UACGGAGGGUGCAAGCGUUGUCCGGAUUUAUUGGGUUUAAAGGGUGCGUAGGUGGCCUUAUAAGUCAGUGGUGAAAGCCUGCAGCUUAACUGUAGGACUGCCAUUGAUACUGUAGGGCUUGAGUACUGAUGAGGUAGGCGGAAUUGAUAGUGUAGCCGUGAAAUGCAUAGAUAUUAUCAAGAACACCGAUUGCGAAGGCAGCUUACUAAGGAGUUACUGACACUGAGGCACGAAAGCGUGGGGAUCAAACAGG
rnacentral:rRNA from 1 species